AAAACGACUCUCGGCAACGGAUAUCUCGGCUCUCGCAUCGAUGAAGAACGUAGCGAAAUGCGAUACUUGGUGUGAAUUGCAGAAUCCCGUGAACCAUCGAGUCUUUGAACGCAAGUUGCGCCCUAAGCCUUCUGGCCGAGGGCACGUCUGCCUGGGUGUCACUC
rnacentral:rRNA from 1 species